rnacentral:lncRNA from 1 species
GAGAUAUACUAGGCUAUCGAUUUAGAAGAUAUAAGCCAUCACACAAUCUACCAUUGCCAACCGUUUUCCCUGUCUGGAGGUCCUGAAAGACAUAGUGAUCAGAAAGAAUUCAAGUUUACAAUUGAAGGCUUUAAUGAUAGUACUAACAGAUAAAAAGUUAAUCAAAAAUUUAGGGACAUGGAGGACAGAGUACAAAGUGAUAUUGGGAGUACAAACAAUAGAACAUGUUCCAGAGAUGAAGGUAAGGGAGCCAUCAGCUAAUCGCAUACUAUCUUUAGAUGGACAAGUAGUAUAGUUAAAUAAGCUUUUGUUUGAUCCUCUCAUAUGUCUGUUCGCAUUGGAAUCAAUAAUCCAAAAAUCAGAAGUAGAUGGAGCAGUUAAAACAGUACCUAAGUUCAAAUGAUUAAACUUGGCAAUCGAGGUAGAGUCCAAUUGAGACAAGAAGCGUCGAAGAUGUUAAAUCUCGUCCGAGGUAAAACUUUCAACAUAAGUGGACUUAUUCUCUAUUGUCACAGAGUAUAACAAAUUUGCCAGAGGCCGAGAUAACAAAUUUGCCUAAGGUCGAGAAUUACCCC